GCCAGUAUAGCACAGUGGUUUGAGCAUCAGACUACGACUCUGGAGACUAAGGUUCAAUUCCCACUCAGCCA
rnacentral:tRNA from 1 species